UACGUAGGGGGCUAGCGUUGUCCGGAAUCAUUGGGCGUAAAGAGCGUGUAGGCGGCUUGGUAGGUCCGCUGUGAAAACUCGAGGCUCAACCUCGAGAUGUCGGCGGAAACCACUUGGCUAGAGUCCGGAAGAGGAGAGUGGAAUUCCUGGUGUAGCGGUGAAAUGCGCAGAUAUCAGGAGGAACACCGAUUGCGAAGGCAGCUCGCUGGGACGUUACUGACGCUGAGACGCGAAAGCGUGGGGAGCAAACAGG
rnacentral:rRNA from 1 species